GUGUUUCUGUAAGGCCUCUCCUGAACUGGAGUGGCAUCUGUCAGGACGUCCUGUCACUAACUCUUCAAACACGUUCAUCAGUGAAGAGCGAUUGAGCAGCACAGGCUUGAGGAGGCUCCAUCACUCUUCAUCAGUCUCUCACACACACAUCCACUCUGCAGUGUGUCAGCAACAACACUCAUGGAAAUGCAAGUCAACUCUUUCAACUGCCUUCAUCUGUUGCACGUUCGAAUCUCUCUGUGCUGAUUGGAGUUGUUGUUGUGGCUUUGGUGGUCAUGAUGAUGUGUGACAUUAUAUAUACAUGUGUACGAUUGUCCACUAAGCAAAAGGCUCUGAAUGAGGCAGCAGACACAUAUGCGUCUCUUCAG